rnacentral:rRNA from 1 species
AUGCGACAUCAAGAGCUGGACCAGAGCCAGCAGCACGAGCAGAGCGGCGGCGCCGAGCGGCCCGGCGCGCGCUCGCCGGUGGCCACCCGACGUCGAGGAGGCGGCGGCGAUCUGUAUGGGGAAGCUGCAGGCGGCGGUGGAGGGGUCGGUCUGCGUGGGGACGGCGAGCGCCUGGAAGUCGCACGCCUCGUCCUUUUGGUUCUGCACCUGGAAGUACAUGUUGAAGGCGUAGGAGGCGUUGCCGUUCACGUCCAUGCCGUAGCAGCUGGAGCCCAUGCCGAGCGCCGUGCAGUCGGCGAAGGUGCAGGCGUAGUUCACGUUCUCCACCAGCUUGCUCUUGUCCUCGGCGUUGGGGUUGUACACGCACCACGUCUUGGGCAGGUACUGCACGCCCUUGGCCGGCACCAGCAUGGUGUUCUGCCCGUUCCCGGUGAGGUCCAUGGGGAACUUGGGCUGGCCGUCGAAGCGGAGCACGCCCCAGUGCCGCUCGAACGCGCCCGGCGCCACGCUCUUGACGUCCUCGUCCAGGAGCCCGAAGAGGUAGACCUCCAUGUACUGUUUGGGCCGGAGCGGCGUGCCGGUGUUGGCCGCCAGCCGCGGCAGCAGGCCGUCGUAGAAGCGCUUGGCGAGGGCGUUGGUGGCGUGCUUGUCGCCGUCGGUCGGCCAGCCGACCUCGCCGAUGACGAUGGGCAAGUCGCCGUGGCCGACGGCGGCGAGCGCCGACACCAGCGUGUCGAAGUUGGCGUCGAACACGUUGGUGUAAGUGUUGACGCCGUCGACCAGCGGCUUGGCGAGGCCGUCGAAGAAGGCGAAGUCGACGGGGAAGUCCUCGCUGAGGUAGAGGCUGAGGUAGGGGUAGAUGUUGACGGUGAAGGGGGCGCUGUUGUUGGCCAGGAACUGCACCAUCUGCGUCAUGAGCGGGGCGACGUCCGUCCGGAAGCGGCCCGCCGACGGCACCUGGUUGUUGGCGGGCGAGUUGUAGACGUCGGCGUUGAGCGGCACGGUGGCCUUGAUCUCGCUGAAUCCGGCGUCGUUGAGCGCGUUCUGGAUGUUCUGCAGCGCCGGGAAGGUGACCUUGUCGAAGGUGCCGUUGUAGGAGGCCAAAAAGGGCUCAUUGCCGACGGCCACGUACCUGCGAACAGAACAGAACAUCACAUCAUCAGUAAGUAG